UACGUAGGCAGAUUGCCAAGUUGGAUGUGAAAUCUUUGAGCUUAACUCAAAAAACUGCGUCCAAAAACUGCCAGUCUUGAGUUUGGGAUAGGAAAAACGGAAUUCCUAGUGUAGGAGUGAAAUCUAUAGAUAUUAGGAAGAACACCGAUGGCGAAAGCGGUUUUCUGACCCAAAACUGACGCUGAGGUACGAAAGCUAGGGGAGCGAACGGGAUUAGAUACCCCGGUAGUCCUAGCCGUAAACGUUGCAUACUAGGUGUAUGAGGUAUCGAUCCCUCAUGUGCCGAAGCUAACGCAUUAAGUAUGCCGCCUGGGGAGUAUGCUCGCAAGAGUGAA
rnacentral:rRNA from 1 species